AGAGUUUGUAUUCUGGCUCAGGAUGAACGCUGGCGGCGUGCUUAACACAUGCAAGUCGAACGGGGAUGCUUAUGGAAGGAGUGCUUGCAUUCCGGAAGGAUGUAUCUUAGUGGCGGACGGGUGAGUAACGCGUGGGUAACCUGCCCCAUACCGGGGGAUACCACCUGGAAACAGGUGCUAAUACCGCAUAAGCGCACGGGAGCGCAUGCUCCUGUGUGAAAAACUCCGGUGGUAUGGGAUGGACCCGCGUCUGAUUAGCCAGUUGGCAGGGUAACGGCCUACCAAAGCGACGAUCAGUAGCCGGCCUGAGAGGGUGGACGGCCACAUUGGGACUGAGACACGGCCCAAACUCCUACGGGAGGCAGCAGUGGGGAAUAUUGCACAAUGGGGGAAACCCUGAUGCAGCGACGCCGCGUGAGUGAAGAAGUAUUUCGGUACGUAAAGCUCAAUCAGCAGGAACGAGACAAGACGGUACCU
rnacentral:rRNA from 1 species